AGCCAAUUUUCAACUUGAUUAUGACUAAUGCAAGACUACCAUUUCCAUGCCAGACCAUAACUACACACCAAAACUCAAUCUUAAGAUUAUAGGUGCACACACUGGGUCUCCUGACGGUAGAAGUGGACACGGAUCUAGUCAUCUCAGAUCUCUACAAGUGCCAAGGAGGUCUGAUAACCAGUGGCAUCCAGCAGGUGAGGUGAUCACCACAGUGAUCAUGGAGGAAGACAAACAGCUCACCUCGGGUCUUAGGGCAUCGUGUUUAUGACACCUGGGUCUGGCCUAGAUCCCCCAACCUUUGGGUUACCAAACCCGUGACUACCACUCACUCUGGACAAGUAGCAUAGGCACAGAUACUGUAUGCCGUGAUGCAACAAAAGGCACGGACACCACCUUACAGCACCACCUUACCAUGCAAAUGUUCCUAACGAAGAAUGCAAUUAAGGAGGCCUCUAAGGAUCAACAGUAACUACAUCAAAUGUAUUUACAGAGAGAAAAGAAUGUCAAACAAUAUCUGCAAAUGUCACUUACGAUGUUUGUCCUGUUAGCAGGCAGCAGCAGUGCCAUUGGAGAGUAGGCCUACUGUUUUAACGCUGGUAGCUACAGUAGAAACAAGGCCUUGUUUUCCAUUCAUUCACAUAAGCCCAGUAAUCAGUAUGGCUAAUCAGAAGUUGGAAAAGCCAGCACAACUAAAUACGUGUGAAGGAAUU